rnacentral:rRNA from 1 species
CCCUUGUUAUGUUCCGGAGAAGGAGCCUGAGAAAUAGCUCCCACGUCCAAGGAUGGCAGCAGGCGCGAAACUUACCCAAUUCCUACAGGGAGAGGUAGUGAAGAGACGUGUUUAUAAUGAGGCUACAUUGCAAAAAGAUGAGUGCCCGAUUGGAGGGCAAGUCUGGUGCCAGCAGCCGCGGUAAUUCCAGCUCCAAUAGCGCAUAUGAUAGUUGCUGCAGUUAAAACGUCCGUAGUUGGCCACACUAUUACUGUGAGGAAAUUAUGUUUCUCAAAGACUAGUAUUAUAGCAUGGAAUAAUGUGGAGAAAGGAACAGAUGAUGGCAAUAGUAUUGAAUAGCGAGGGGUGAAAACCGAUGACCUAUUGAGGACUACCGGAGGCGAAGGCGAUUGUCAAGUAUGUAUCCGUUAAUCAAGGACUUAAGCUGGAGGAUCGAAGAUGAUUAGAUACCGUCGUAGUUCCAGCUGUAAACGAUGCCGACUAUAUGGUAGAGACUCUACCGUAUAAGGAGAAAUCAAAGUGUAUAGGCUCUGGGGAUAGUAUUAAUGCAAAUUAGAAACUUAAAGAAAUUGACGGAAGGACACCACAAGGAGUGGAUUGUGCGGCUUAAUUUGACUCAACGCGGGACAACUUACCAGGGCCGAAUGUGUAGGAGAAUGGCGACCCGAGAGGAUCCCCAUGAUUAUGCAGGAGGUGGUGCAUGGCCGUUUUCAACACGUGGGGUGACCUGUCAGGUUAAAUCCUUUAACGCGUGAGGCUGUGAAGUUUAUAUGUAAAUUGACGGAUGGCGGCAAGCCAUAGGAAGCACGGCGAUAACAGGUCAGUGAUGCCCCUAGACGUUCUGGGCUGCACGCGCAAUACAAUGGGAUGGAGAAUUUAGUAUGCUGAGAAGUAUAGAAGUAAUUCAUUCCGAAGCAGGGAUAAGCUUUUGUAAAUAAGUUUUGAACGAGGAAUUCCUAGUAAUCGCAAGUCACUAAGUUGCGAUGAAUGAGUCCCCUGUUCUUUGUACACACCGCCCGUCAUUAUA